ACCGGGAAAGGGGAAAACAUGUGAAAUGUAAAUAAAGAAAAUAUCCAAUUUAAAAAAAGUAAUCUUCUCGAAGAGAAUAUGCUGGUCUUGAUUCACCGGUAGGGGCCUUCGGUGUCCCUUCUAGUGCCCAGAUCAGAAACAUGG